UCCUCUUCCCUACUUUCUCUCUCUCUCUUCCCUUCUCCUCUCUAUCUUAGCCCCCCUCUCUCUUUCCCUAUCAUUCAUUAGCGUAAGCGGUGGCAAUGGCUUGUGCUGGCGCCGCCACCCGGGGUCGGAAAGGGAGAGCGCAGCGGCGACAGCAGCAGCCAUAGAGGCCGCGGCGAGGGCCGUGGGGGCGUCGAGGGCGGAGAUGUCCGUCGCCGAGGGGAGGGCCGGCACGCGGGUGGAGAGAGCUAAUGAAGGCGUAGCGCGGGUUUCAUACUAGUUUGCAUAAUUUGAGGGUCAGAGAGGGCUGAGGGCAGCGGAGGAGGCGAUGAGGGCAGCGGAGGCGGUGGAGAAGGCGAUGGCAAGAGGGUCGUGAAGGCAGUGGAGAAGGCAAUGAGGGUCAGAGAGGGUAAAAAAAAUUACAAAAAAAGUAAAACAUUAGAGAAAAAAGAAGAUGAUGAUAAAGUUAUACUAUUUUAGAGAAACGUUGCACUGUUUUAAAGAAAACUUACACUAUUUGAGAUUAAAAAAAAAAUUUAAACUUUUCUGAAUAAAAGUUGUAUUCUUUGAACGAAAGUUGUACUAUUGGAAUGAAAAUUACACUAUUUUUUCUCUUCCUCCUUCUCCUCCUUUUUCUUUGUUUUCAUAUGGAUGAGGAGAAAUAAUAAAAUAUUUGCCCAAAUAGUGCAAGUUUCGUUCAAAGAGUACAAGUUUCGUUCAAAAAGUGCAAAUUUUCUUUAAAACAGUACAAUAUUUCUCUAAAACAGUGCAUCUUCAUCACCUUCUUCUUUUCUCUCUGAUUUUUUAUUUUUCUUAUAUAAAAAAAUAUUUUUUUAUAUUUUAUUCCAUUUAUUUUAUUUAUUUUUUAUAUUUUUUUUUUCUUGGCUCCACUCUCACCCGUGCUUGCUUCGAGUCCUCCUUCUCCGGCGCCGGUGUCGAUGUCUGCGCCGACGAAGGCGGUGUAAGAGGACGUGAAUAUUGUCUUCGUUACUGUCGUAGAGGGUCGCGGAAGCGAUGGAGGGAGUCGAAGAGAAAAAAAAAAAAAGAAUGACAGAAAAAAAGGAGAGGAAGAGGACGCGACGUUACCCUCUUUAUUGUCAUAAAGAACCGGGGAGGCGAUGUGUCACGCCCCGAGCCCGCCUCUUUGGUCGGAUUCGGGCACGCCAACAGACCGCCGAACGGACAGGAUUUCCCCUGCACGCGGACAGAGUCUCCCCUGUACGUUCAAGGCGUCGCAAUCAAUACAAGUACAAAAGGUUCCAAAGGGCUCGGGGCGUGACAUGAUGGAGGAGGGUCGGAGAGGGAAAAAAAAGGGUCGCGGCGCAGCAUCGGCAUCGUUGGAGGUGAGGAAGGCCGGGGGGAGUGCGUGGGCGAGAGUGAAGAGAAAAAAAAGAGAGGAAGAGGGUGCGACGUUAUCGUCGUGGAUGGUCGCGGAGACGGUGGAGGAGGUUAGAAGAAAAAAAAAAGAACGAGAGAAAAAAAAAGGAGAGGAAGAGGACACGGCAUUACCCUCUUUACUGUCUUAAAGAACUAGAGAGAUGAUGGAGGAGAGUCGGAGAAGAAAAAAAAAAAGAGGAUCGCAGCGCGGCCUCGGCAUGGUCAGAGGUGAGGAAGGCGGGGGGAGGGGGGUGCACGGGCGAGGAUGUGCCGAACAGAGGCAAGGCGGGCCGCCUUCACCUCCGCCGUCCUCUUGGGAGAGAAAGAAGAUAAAGAACGAGAGGAAAAAAAAAAAAGGGAGGGAAAAAAGGGAACAAGGAUAUUUUGGUCAGUUUAUUAAAAAUCCGGCCCGAAUCUGUAAAAUCCAAAAAAAUGGUCUGCUUUGGCAAAAGUUCAAAACUAGUGGAUUUUUUUUGCAAAUUGGCCAAAAAAAAUCAAAGAGCUAAAUGCGAAAAAAAUAAAAAACAAGAAACAAAAAACUAUGCCGUGACAUCGAUUGUGGAAAUAUCCUUCUGCACACUGGCAUGUGCACAAGGUGUGUGCUCAUACGUGCGGAAGUAGCCAGCUUGGCCCUUGGAGGUUGCCUUGAAGUCGUGAACGAACAUCCAGCGACGUCGAAGGCUUAUAUGCAGUUUUAAUCAAAAUCGAACUGAAAACGUUUUUGCCGUAGAGGAAGAAAUUUAAAAUUGAAUAGUUGUAAA